rnacentral:lncRNA from 10 species
UAGAGUCUCCUGCUCCUCCAUUCCUGCUUCCUCCUCACGCUGCCCCCACAUCCUCCCCAACUCACCUUCAUGCUACAUCUCGGCAAAUACAGCUCAUAUCCAGGCACGGUGCAGCCCUUGACAGCUGGGUCCGCAAAGGCAGAUCGGGUAUAUCUUUAAAGAAAAGUUAUCUUAACCAUUGAGAAGCCUUCCUUCCUCAGAGGAGAGCACCUCCCCAGCAGACCUCCGAGGAGACCAAGGGCAGGACAGGAAGGGUGAAAGGAAGUUUCAGGACUGCAGGAAAUAAGAGCUUGGAGGUCAAGGGAGAGAUCAGAUAAAACAUGAAUCUGAUCAGCAUCCUAGUGGUCUAGAGUGGAGACAAUCUGCGGAGUCAACCUCAGUAAGGACACACAUAGAGAAGAACCAAAGCCUCUAAAGACGAAGCUGAGAAGUGUACGGUCGUAGAAGACUCGUGUCUGUUAUUCUUAAAAGCUCAAGGAGGUGUUCUGCCAAUUGAAUGGAAACUGUCCAUAGUGGGGAGCAGAGAGCCUCAUCUUUUCUGGAACUGAACAUCCAUCCUUAAGGCCAGAUUUCUCCCAUCACCAACUUUAACUCCUGCCCUAGCCCUCUCUCUUCCUUUUCAAAACCCUCUCCACCCAGGAAGGGAGAUUCUGGAGCCAAGACUGUACCAGCCACACCUCCCCAGAGUUGUUAAGGAAGGAACUCGAAGCCAGGGGUGGUCUUCUGGCAAGCACCCCCACUACCAGUAGCAGGACAGAUGUGUUUCUAAUGGACUACACUAUCCCCGGAGGUCACAUGAUUCAGGCUGCCAAGGGUACCUGCCCUUGGGAAAUCAACUCCCGAAGAUAAAUUGGGAUUGGGUCCUGAGAAGAUCCAUGGAAGCCCAGAGGACCCUGCCUCUCUCUGUUGCUUCAUGCUGUAGAGGCAGUACUGGGGAGGGCCUGCCCCACAUCCGGCAGGGCAGCUGGAACCAUGUGUUUGAUGACACUCUGCUCCCUCAAUGUGGAGCCUCAUCCUCAUCUCACAGUCUAGCAGGCCUCUGGUGGGUUAGGCUUGUCUCACCCAGUGUGUGAGUUUUUUUGGAAGUGACCUGAUUUUGGAGUUUCCCUCCAAGCCUUUCUCAGGUACAUGCUUUCUCUUUUAUUCUGUCUUCUUUUUUUGAUCUUCUUAAAUCUGAUUUUCUCCUUUUUCCCUCUCUUGUCUCCAUCUUUUUUCCAGUCUCUCGCUUCUCUUUAUUUCUCCCCAUAUUUCACUCUGUUCUCUCACCCCAACCUUUCCCUUCUGUUUCUCUCCCUCCCUCUCUUCCCACCCCCUGCCUGGCCUUCCAUAUAUCAAGCAGAGUUUUAUCACCUUAUGCAGGGGCAGCCCUGCCACCUGCCAUAAAGUUGAUAGGCUAAUGACAUUUUGUGGAUAUUGCCAUGUCACAAGUCCAGGACAGCAUCAAAAAUAGCCCUGAUGUCUAAACCACUUCAGCUAUCUUUUUUAUUUUUAAAAUAAAUACAUUCACAUGCUUUUAAGAAACUAUAAAAAUAUAUAAAGUAAAAAGAUCUUUCUCUCACACUGUCUCCACCUCUCCUGGUCUCACCGUUGUGCUUAGGGGAAACCAUUGUGAUUAGUUUCUCCUGUGUCCUUCCAGAGUGUCUUUAUGCAAAUGAAAAUUAUUGUGAUAAUAUAUUCCUAUUUUCCCCCUUACUACACAAAAGAUAGACUACCAUAAUCCCAUUCUGCACUUUUUUUUCACUUGAUAAUAAAAACAUGAUUUUAUUAAU